rnacentral:rRNA from 1 species
GUGGGGAAUUUUGGACAAUGGGCGCAAGCCUGAUCCAGCAAUGCCGCGUGCAGGAAGAAGGCCUUCGGGUUGUAAACUGCUUUUGUACGGAACGAAACGGUACUGGUUAAUACCCGGGGCUAAUGACGGUACCGUAAGAAUAAGCACCGGCUAACUACGUGCCAGCAGCCGCGGUAAUACGUAGGGUGCAAGCGUUAAUCGGAAUUACUGGGCGUAAAGCGUGCGCAGGCGGUGCUGUAAGACAGGCGUGAAAUCCCCGGGCUUAACCUGGGAAUUGCGCUUGUGACUGCAGUGCUGGAGUGCGGCAGAGGGGGAUGGAAUUCCGCGUGUAGCAGUGAAAUGCGUAGAUAUGCGGAGGAACACCGAUGGCGAAGGCAAUCCCCUGGGCCUGCACUGACGCUCAUGCACGAAAGCGUGGGGAGCAAACAGGAUUAGAAACCCUAGUAGUCC